GUGCCACGUCAGGAAUUUGAGUAUGAGCAUCAGAGUCAUUUCUGAUUAAUUUUUUUUAACCUCAAGUCUAUAGUAUCAAAGUGAAGUUAUUGACGGUUCAAUGAUUUAGACUUGAGUGUAAACUGUUCUUAGCAAGUACAGUCUUUGGGCUAUCCAAGUAAGAACAUCCACAGCCAUCUUUAGUGUGACCAGCAAUCUCAUGGUGAUCUUUAGGCUGUCCAAGCAGGGCCAUACCCAGCAGCAGUGAGUGAAUUUUCAGGUGAAGGAUGCUCCAAGCAGAAGUGGAUCAUCAGGAUUGAUCAGUCCCCUGAAACGGAGGUAUUAUGAUUCUGAAAAGAUGAUUAUAUGGUUCACCCUGUAUAGUAGGUGAUGUGAUUACACAUGCAGUAGAAGACAGCAACAGUGGAAUCUCAUCUGGCCUCGGCCCGUGACAACUUCCCUGGUGUGCCACUGUGUUGACAGGAUAAGCCUAAUAUUUCAC
ensembl:lncRNA